rnacentral:SRP_RNA from 1 species
GCUGGGUGUGGUGGCGUGCGCCUGUAAUCCCAGCUACUCAGGAAGCUGAGGCAGGAGAAUCGCUUGAACCCGGGAGGUGGAGGUUGCAGUGAGCCGAGAUUGCACCAUUGCACUUCAGCCUGGGCGACAGAGCGAGACUCUGUCUCCA